rnacentral:rRNA from 1 species
AGUUCGGAUUGCAGGCUGCAACCCGCCUGCAUGAAGUUGGAAUCGCUAGUAAUCGCGGAUCAGCAUGCCGCGGUGAAUACGUUCCCGGGCCUUGUACACACCGCCCGUCACACCACGAGAGUUUACAACACCCGAAGUCAGUGGCCUAACCGCAAGGAGGGAGCUGCCUAAGGUGGGGUAGAUGAUUGGGGUGAAGUCGUAACAAGGUAUC